AACAACCAUUCAUGCUCACAUUCGCACCUGUGGGUAAUUUAGAGUCGCCAAUCAACCUAACUUGCAUGUGUUUGGAUUGUGGUAGGAAACAGGAGCACCCAGAGGAAACCCACGCAGGCACGGGGAGAAUAUGCAAACUCCACACAGGAAGGUCCCAGUCAAACCAGGUGCUGUGACUCAGCUACACUACCAUUGCAAAGCAACUUCACGGUCAUUAGGGACCAGCUGAGAGUGCUGAAGCUGGCUGGCAGGUAACCAGAAGAAUGGACAUCUCCGCAAAAAUCAGGAGGAUACAAGCUAACAGCCCUAGUGAGGAAUCGGAGGGACUUCCCUGAAAGUAGAGCUAUGUGUUUCACAGAGAAUGGCUGCAGGAAGAUACUCUGCAUCCCAUCGCUACCAUUGACAGCUUUCAGACAGUGUGGACAGUUAGAAAUAACUCUGAGAGCGGAAAGAAAAGAGACAUCCAUACUACAUACCCAGGGAGUUCUCACACGCCAUCUGGGUUGCGAGACUCCAGACUCUGCACCCCAGUGCUCUUUUCAUGAUUUCCGGGGAGUUCAAUCUCGUGACAGUGGACAAGAUCCUUACUCCCACUUUCACUAAUUUUGUGGACUGCAUUUCCAGAGGUGACAGGACCCUGGACCUGCUGCAUGCAGGCACAGUGGGUUUCUACGGCAUAAACAAGGAACAACCAGCAUAUGAGGAAUCCAUUCUAUCCCUCACGGUGUAUGUUGAUGUAGCCAAUCACAUAAUACAGAUGUUAUUUCAUAUUUAUGUAUUGAGAUAAUGCAUGAGUAUAAAAUAUGGCAUGAUUGUCAGACAACUGAAAUAGAAAGGUGUCAGUUACAAACUGUAUUGUUACCAGCUGUACUGAAACACAAAAUACAUUAUGAAAAAGCAGUGGAGUGUUGCUUCACCCUCCAAAGACUAAAGCUUCUUUCACACAUGAAAUGCAAACCUGAACUUAUUAUGUCUGACAUGACCUGCAGGAGUUGUGUGUGUGAACGCCAAUAUACGAAUUAGUUGGACCAGAAAUUAAACUUCACCCUGCCAGCUCCCUAGUACAAAGUCUGUGUAAUGUCCAAUUGAGCCAUUGUAAUGU